UCCCAGGUGGCUCAAACGGUAAAGCAUCUGCCCACGGUGCAGGAGACCUGGGUUCGAUCCCUGGGUUGGGAA
rnacentral:tRNA from 1 species